CUCCUCUCAAAGUACCCCCCAGCCUGAAGGGCAGAGGGCAGCACAUCCUCGGGAUGCCGCCUUCCAGCGCGAAGUGGUGCAGGUUGAUUAAUGGCAGCGCAAAAUGAGGCCCGGGACUGUUUCAGCCCCGGGUGUGGCAGAGCUAACACUGCCUGUAUUUAUGAGAAAGAGGAAGGUGAGAGCUGCUAUGGAACGGAAGCUCUUGGAAAAGUCUCAGUUGGGAUUUUCCUAAAGGAAUUUUCUUUCUCAGUGCAUAGCUAACAAAUAGCAAUGAAAACUCAGCUCUACAGUUCUUCCAUUACUCAGAGCAUGUGGACAAGUGGUCCUUUGAUGUAUUUGCACGAAAUGACACCCGUGGGGAUCACGUGCUGAAAUUCAUUUUCUAUGAACUUUAUACCAGUUGUGAUGUGAUCAACUGUUUCAAGGUCCCCACUUCUGCCCUCGUGUCCAUUGUGGAAACUCUGGAGGUUGGCUACAGGCAACACAAAAAUCCUUGUCACAACUUAAUGCAUGCGGCAGAUGUGACAUGGCUGGUCCAUGACCUCCCUUUCAAGACAGGUGUAGUGGUAAGUACAGGAGACAGCUAAAGCCAGACAACACUGACAGGAAUGGAUUGAAGGCUUAAACAAAAAGAAAUAUUGAGCACACAGUACAUUCCCAGAGUGGUUGUCAAGACCAAUGACAGAAAUAUCUUUGAAGCGGGACUAGAGAAAUUGAAGGCAGACAGAUUCCAGGGUGAUGAUCAGCCAUUGCAGUUUGAAUUAAGCUGGUAGCGCAGAAAGUUUCUGGCCCACUCAGUGGGGAGAAUAAAUGGUAGGGAAGGCUCAACGUGUACAGUAUACAUAUGUAUCUUACUCUCAUUCCCUUACUCCUGGUUACUGCUGCAGACAAAAAAGGGAACAAAAGGACUUUUUGUUUGAUCCCGUGUGGCAGCUCUUUUCCACCUGUUGUUCGUUUCACCUUUUCGCAGCAUCUAAUUUGCCCUUAGCCCUUGGAUUGGCAGAAGUGUAGAGGCAAAGGUAUCAGUGAAAGGGAAGUUCAUCUGUUUAACGUUUUGUGCCAUUCUGUCUUGUUAAACUAUGGCCAUUCACUGGUUGCUGUCUUUGUGGCUGGUACUUGAAUACAUGCAAUUCUGUUAUAUUGUGCUUCAUUUCACUGAGUUUCCUUCACUGACAAUUGUGCAGAAGCAGCCAAGGUAAGCGCUUCCAAGUGCAGGGAGUCUUUGCAGUGCAGAGCAUGUGUGUGAACCCAGAAUGGCAGACGUUGAGGCUCU